rnacentral:rRNA from 1 species
UGGCAUCCGGGUGAGUAACGCGUAGGUCAUCUGCCCCUAUCACAGACAUAACAGUUCUAACGGAUUGCUAAUAUCUGAUGAGGCGAGCAAUCGUCAAAGCUUUGGCGGAUAGGGAUGAGCCUGCGUCUGAUUAGGUAGUUGGUGAGGUAACGGCUCACCAAGCCUUCGAUCAGUAGCUGGUCUGAGAGGACGAACAGCCACACUGGAACUGAGACACGGUCCAGACUCC